UACGAAGGGGGCUAGCGUUGUUCGGAUUUACUGGGCGUAAAGCGCACGUAGGCGGAUCGUUAAGUCGGGGGUGAAAUCCUGGAGCUCAACUCCAGAACUGCCUUCGAUACUGGCGAUCUUGAGUCCGGAAGAGGUGAGUGGAACUCCUAGUGUAGAGGUGGAAUUCGUAGAUAUUCGCAAGAACACCAGUGGCGAAGGCGGCUCACUGGCCCGGUACUGACGCUGAGGUGCGAAGCGUGGGGAGCAAACAGG
rnacentral:rRNA from 1 species